GGGUAGAAAAACAUGCGCAAUCCUAUUGGUUUGCCAAUAUAUAUUUAGAGUGUGAUUUUUGGUCUGAGCUGCCAUCCGACGAAUGAAGUUUUAAAUUGUCUAUGGAUAAAUGAGUUUUAAAAGAUAUUUGUUUAAAAAGCCCAUUCUAAUGAUUGUAUGUUUGCCCGAUCUUUCCAAUAGUCCACAACAAUGCCAGAAUGAAGGCGGAGUUUGCAUAAAUAUAACUAACAAUGGAAACAUCACUUUUCCUUGCUGUGAGGACUUAACGUGUAUCCCAAGUGGAACGAGCGGUGUGUGGAUUUGUACACUACUAAGUCAUUGAUGGAAACUGAAUUAAAGAAUUAUUAUUUUAAUAAAAGCGACCAAGUAAUAAUAAAUUAGUCAAGUAGUUGACAAUUUUCAUUUUAAUGACGCGAAAUAUCGAUUUGGUAUCUUUGCAAAAAUUGUUCAUUAUGUCAAACUGUACAAUUUUGCAAAAAAAAACAAACAAUUAUUGUAUAUCUAUUGGAAUAAAUAAAUUAUUUAAACCUUUACUGACCUCUUGAAAA